GCUUUGCCCACUUUCCUGGCCAUCAGAGCUUCUGGGUACCCCAGUUCCUGAAGCUGCCCACAGGUCUGCAAACCUCACAUGCAGUGCCCAGACCUCUCAUCAACCCUCCUUUUCCAUCAAAACUGAUAUGUCCCUUUGCCUCCUGACCUUUAUCUCUGUUAGAGAGAAUCCAGUAAAUAGUUCUAGUGAACAAGUUAUAGAUUGAGUCACACCUACAGCCCCUGCUUAUUGCCUGUGCUUUGUGCUCUGAGACACCAGCUCCCUGACUUCUCUGGUGGUGAGGGGGUUUACCUGAUCUAAGGGCAGCCACUAUUGGCUAGCCUACCAUCACCGACAUGCAUCAGCCAAUCAGACAGGCUUCUCCCAGCAAAUCAAAAGGGAAAUACAGAGAGCAGGUGGCAAUCAGGAGUGGGAGCUGAAGCAGAAAGGGCAUGAGGGAACCAAAGGAGAGGGACCAGAGAGGCCACGUAGUCAAUGGGCAGAUUGAAACUAAAGGAGCAGACACACUCAGCAGGAGAGAGAACAGAGUACACCCUUGAAGAGAGAGGCCAUGAAAGAGAAAUAUUAAGUAGCCCAUGAAAGAGGUAAAGUAGGCAGUUCCCAGAGCUUCUGCAGAGCAAAAGAAAUAAUCAACCGGGUGAACAGACAACCUACAGAAUGGGAGGAAAUAUUUGCAAAUGAUGCAUUUGACAUGGGACUAAUACCCGUAAUCUACAAGGAAUUCCAACAACUCAACAAGAAAAAGCAAAUAAUCCCAUUAAAAAGUGGGCAAAGGACACGAACGGUCAUUUUUCAAAUGAAAACAUACAAAUGGCUAGCAAGCAUAAGAAAAAAUGCUCAAUAUCAGUAAUCAUCAGAGAAAUGCAAAUUAAAACCAUAAUGUUACCAUCUCACACCAGUCAGAAUGGCCAUCAUGAAAAAGUAAAAAAAAAAAACAAAACAAAAACAGAUAAUGGCAAAGAUGUGGAGAAAAAGAAACUCAUACACUGUUGAUGGGAAUGUAAAUUAAUAUAACCUCUAUGGAAAACAGUAUGGAGAUUUCUCAAAGAACUAAAAAUAGAACUAACAUUUGAUCCAGUAAUCCCACUAUGGAGUAUUUAUCCAAAGGAAAAUAACUCAUUAUAUCAAAAAGAUACCUGCACUCAUAUGUUUAUUGCAGCACUGUUCACAAUAGUAAAGACAUGGAAUCAACCUAAGUGUCUGUCAAUGAAUGACUGAAUAAAGAGAGUGUGAUUAUACAUACCAUGGAAUACUACUUGGCCACAAAAAAGAAUGAAAUCACGUCUUUUGCAGCAACAUGGAUAGAAUUGGAGGCUACUAUCUUUUAUCUUUUUUUGGGGGUGGGGAUGGAGUCUCACUCUGUCACCCAGCCUGGUGCAGUGGUGCGAUCUCAGUUCACUGCAACCUCUGCCUCCCAAGUUUAAGCAGUUCUCCUGCCUCAGCCUCCUGAGUAGCUGUGAUUACAGGCGCGAACCACCAUGCCUGGCUAAUUUUUGUAUUUUUAGUAGAGACAGGGUUUCACCAUGUUAGUCAGGCUGGUCUUGAACUCCUGACCUUGUGAUCUGCCUGCCUCGGCCUCCCAAAGUGCUGCAAUUAUAGGCGUGAGCCAUGGCACCCAGCUUGGAGGCUAUUAUCUUAAUUGAAAUAACUCAGAAAGUCAAAUACCAUAUGUUCUCACUUGUAAGUGGAAGCUAAAUAAUGCAGACACAUGGAAAUAGAGUGUAGAAUAAUAGACAUCAAAAUCUCAGAAAGGUAGUUGGGUGGGAGUGGGGUGAGGGAUGAGAAAUUACCUAAUGAGAAUAAUGUAUAAUAUUUGGGUAAUUGCUACACUAAAAGUCCAGAUGUCACCACUCUAUAAUAUAUCCAUGUAACAAAACUGCACUUGUACCCCCUAAGUCUAUAAAAUAAUUUAAAAAAAUAAACGUAGGCAGCCCCCAUGGCUAACUUGGUCCCUGAGAUGUUUCUAGUUCUAAUUUUGGUUCCCAUUCAUAUGGCUCCUUAUUGUAAACUCUUCCUUAUUUGAGGCUACUUGAGCAAAUCUCUGCUGUAACUGAGGGAGGGAGGUCUCAACAAAAUAGUGGCAUAGUGUGGAUAAGAGCUCCAGUCUGUCCUUUGUCCUCUGCUCACAGCUGGAACACCCUGAGGAAAUGCUUAUCCUCUUUCUCAUCCAUUCAACUAUCACUUUUUGAGUACCCACCUUCAGGCAUUGCUCUAGGUGCUUGGAAUACUGAGUGAAAAAAACAGAGAAAGACUUUCUUACAGAACUUCCCUGCUACUGGGAUGGGGAUGGAGAUGGAGAUACAGGACAAUAACAAUAAACAAAUUAUCUGUAAGUUAGAGAUGAUGGGGGCCAUGGGGGAAAGUGGAGCAACGUGCUGAGGAUGAAGAGUGGUGAUGAUACUUUUAGUGAGACUGGUCAGGGCCAGUCCCAUUGAGAAGGUAACAUUUGACCAAAGACUUGAAGGGGAGGAAGUGAGCCAUGCUGGGAUUUGGGCUGUCCAAUCAGAAGGAACAGUAGGGGCAAUAGGAGAAAUGAUUGUUAUGUCUUCCUUUCUGUAGGAGGGGAUAAAGAUAGCAUAUGCCAUGAAGACUGAAUGAGGUCACCUAUCAAAACCUUCUGCUUAGAGCUGGGUGAAUGUUAACAACAAUUAGAUUAAAAGCCAGUUAACAUUAGUGUACUUGUUUCCAACAUAACAUUUAGAUUUGAUGCCUUAACCCAAAGGCGUGAGCAGGGGGAGAAUUCUGGGCCUUCUGGUGAGGCAGGAGUGAGAUGCUUUGGUGCCUUGAAGCCUUUCAGGCCUGUGUCUACUCUGCCUCCACACAGGCCAGAGAGACGCUUUCCAAUAGAAGUGGGGCUGAGGGCUAUGGGGAGCUUUUCAAAAUGCAUGGGCCUGGUUCCUCUCCUCCUGUGUCGGUGGGAAAUUUAAGUGAGGGGUCCCAGCUUUGAGUAUUUUGAAAUACUCCUCUUCCUCCUCCUCCGCCUCCAUGAUUCUGAUACAUUCCCAUGUCCUUCUCCAAUCCCUGCUCACUCUGAGUGAGAAGUCCUGGGCUAGAGUCCCCAGGCAAGGUCUCCUAGAGAGAGUUCAACCCUGGCUCCAGUUACAGUGCAGAAAGACGACAUCACACCCAAAGCCAUUACACCCAAAGUCAUAUUCCUGUGCUCGUAGACCUAAUGACACACUCAUGGUUUCAUCUUAGGAGCCCCAUGACUUAUAGAGGAAAUGCAGCAAAGGGUCAGGAUAAAGUGGAUUCUGUCCUGUUGGGGGUGAGCAACACCAGUGCUAGACCUUUGCCAUCUGCCAUAAAAUUGUCACAAAAUAUACAAAUCAAUAAUAAUUAUAAUGUAAAUGGCACCCUUAGAGUUGUGUGGUAUACGGACUGCAGAACCAGGCAUGCAGCUUGAGUGGAGGUGGGAAAGGGGCUGUCUUUCUAUGGCAUCAGGCUGUCCUUCCAGGGGGAAGUACAUUCUAACAGGAUCAAAGCCUCAAGCAAAAGGAAAUCCUGGCAUUUCCCACUGAGAGUAGUUUCUUGGGGGAUAUUUGUGCUGGAAGUAGCAUUUUCUGGGGCUCCUAAGAUGAGACCAUGAGUGUAUCAUUAGGUCCAUGAACACAGGAAUAUGGCCUUGGGUAUGCAGGGCUUCACUAUGACUCCAACUCAUUCAUUCUGCCCCUACCUAUCCUACCUAUACUUGGGCAAAUGGUUCAUUCCAGUCUCUAGGCCUUAGUGCAGGGCCAAUAUUCUGGUGUAAGAGUGUUGGUUUGACAGUUUUGAAAGUUGAUGCAGAACGUGUGUGUGUGUGUGUGUGUGUGUGUGAGAGAGAGAGAGAGAGAGAGAGAGAGAGAGAGAGAGAGAGAGAGAGAGAGAGGGGAAGGAUCAUGGAUAUAGGCUUGAAUUAUGAAACAGUUAACACUCACAGGUGAGAAGAGCUCAUUGCUGUCUUGACCAGGGUCUGAGAGACAAUGCAGCAUUAGGUAUUGCUGAGACUCGGGAGGAAACAAACACCAGAAGGGAAAUGGCAGAUGGGGAAAAGGGAAGUGUUAUUUCCAAGACAGAGGAGGGAGGAGAGGGUUCGAUUUCAUCUUCAUGCCUCUCAGUCAGUAUAAACAGAGCAUCCUUUCUCUGGAACCUUCCUCCUAAUCGAAUCCAGAUCUCCUUGGUUCAGGGUAUAAACAGAAGUCAAGAACAAGGUCCAAUAUGGGCUUUGCAGUGCGAUGACCUGGAUUUUAAGUACAAUACUGCCACUUACCUAGUGCACUGGAGUGAGUUAAUGUCAGUGAGCCUCAGUUUCUUCACCUAUAAAACCUAUGGUCAUUCCAUUCCCUUGCAGGGUUGUCAUGAAGAUGAACUGAGGAAGGUUGAAGCAGUUGGCACUUAGUAAGCUCAGUAAGUGUAGUGUUUGCUGCUUCUUGAACGGGAAAUACACAGGAGCAGUAUAAAUACCCAUAUCAAAUGUGGGAAAGGGUGUAUAUAGUCAUAGGAUGAGUUAAAACUUUUUGAAAAGUUAUUACACAUACACAGAAACAAUUCAAAUACGGAAAAAAGGCAUCUAUAAAAAAAUGGAUCUCCUUCUUACCCAUCCUCCUAGUUCC
rnacentral:lncRNA from 1 species